CCUACGGGAGGCACCAGUGGGGAAUAUUGCACAAUGGGCGCAAGCCUGAUGCAGCCAUGCCGCGUGUAUGAAGAAGGCCUUCGGGUUGUAAAGUACUUUCAGCGGGGAGGAAGGGAGUAAGGUUAAUAACCUUAUUCAUUGACGUUACCCGCAGAAGAAGCACCGGCUAACUCCGUGCCAGCAGCCGCGGUAAUACGGAGGGUGCAAGCGUUAAUCGGAAUUACUGGGCGUAAAGCGCACGCAGGCGGUCUGUCAAGUCGUAUGUGAAAUCCCCCGGGCUCAACCUGGGAACUGCAUUCGAAACUGGCAGGCUGGAGUCUUGUAGAGGGGGGUAGAAUUCCAGGUGUAGCGGUGAAAUGCGUAGAGAUCUGGAGGAAUACCGGUGGCGAAGGCGGCCCCCUGGACAAAGACUGACGCUCAGGUGCGAAAGCGUGGGGAGCAAACAGGAUUAGAUACCCCCGUAGUC
rnacentral:rRNA from 1 species